GAUGAACGCUAGCGGCAGGCUUAAUACAUGCAAGGCGAGGGCACAGCAAUGUGACCGUCGAACGGGUGCGUAACGUGUAUGCAACCUACCUAUCACUGGGGGAUAGCCCGGGGAAACCCGGAUUAAUACCGCAUAACACAGGGGCCUCACAUGGGGAUAUUUGUUAAAGAUUUAUCGGUGGUAGAUGGGCAUGCGUUCGA
rnacentral:rRNA from 1 species